GGCCUGUGUGUUCGCUGUCCCUGUUCCUGUUCCUGGAGCACUGUUCCUGCUGCCCUUUGCCCAGCCAUUGCCUUGCAUCCCUCAUUGGGAGGCCUUUGGUGGCCAUGUGCCCUCUCUCUCCGGCCUCCGUUGUUUCCCUCCCAGAAUCUGCCACCAUUGAUAAUGAUCUUCUGAACCUGCCUCUUUACAGCGUUCCCUAAGGACAGAAUGCAAGCUUCUUGCAGCCAGUGAAGCCCACGAACGUAUCCUCAGGGCCCAGCACAAGGACGGGCACACAGGGACCCCGACCGCGACUUGCUGAAAGAUACUCAUGCUGAGGGAAGCCAGCUUCCAUGUUGUAAGGAUGCUGAAGCAGCACUGUGGAGAUCCAUGUGGCAAGGAGCUGAGGCCUCUGCCAGCAGCCAGCGCCAGUCUGCCAGCGAGAUGAGCAAGCCGUCUUGCAGCCAAUUCAACGAAUUGUUAUCUCUGGACCACUGGGCUCACAUCGUGAACAGCUGCUCCACCCUCUGUCUUUCACCAGCAAGUUUUUCUGGUAACAAGACCACAUAGGUCUCACUUAAGCCAUCUUCACCAACUACCAACUAUUAAACUGGUUAAUUCGUCUUUCAGAUCAGAAACAAGAGGCCAGGAGUAAAAACUGUGCCAAUCAGAGAAGAAUUACCUGGCCACCAAAUUACCAGUCACUCACUCAUCUCAACUCUCCUCCCUGGCUCCUUUACUUUGAAGCUUAGGUCUGCAAUGGUUAUUUUAUAUAGAAGAGCAAAAUAUGCUCCUUUCAAAUUUCACUUUUUUUUCUUUUUUGAAAUUAAAACCAAUUUUGUUUAGAGACAGGGUCGCACUCUGCCACCCAGGAUGGAGUGCAGUGGCAUGAUCAUAGCUCGCUGUAACCCCAAACUCCUGGGCUCAAGUGAUCCUCACACCUCAGCCUCCCGAGUAGCUGGUACAGGAGUGUGCCACCAUGCUUGGCUUCACUUUAUUUUGUUGACUUAACUUUUUCCAGAGACAUCUUACAAGAGCCUGUUUUCCAUCCUAACAGUACGACGUAACUCCAGACAUAGGCUUUAGA
rnacentral:lncRNA from 10 species